CUAUAGAGCGGCAGUGGUGGGCAACUUAGGUAGGAUAACAGAUACAAACGGAUGAGAUCAAUUAUGUUUCAUGAUCAAUAAAUGCUAGUAUAUUUAAUUUCUAGGUGAUCUGUUAGCAUAUCUGUAUUUUUCCCAUAAUAUAUAUAUAUAUGUAUAUGUAUAUGGAUAUGUAUAUGUAUAUGUCAUAUUUUAAUUUGAUACCCUCUUUCUCCAUUGUGUUCAAUCGAUGGAAGCCUUGGUUCUCAUCGGAAGAAGAAACUGACUUAAGAGGCGACAUUAUUUUCAUCGACAAAGCCCUGGAGGCCUAUCUGCAAGGCCAGAACCCUCUUUCUCAAUGAAAACCAAUCAACAUAUACAAUGGGAGCUCUGUCUCUCUCCCUCUCUAUCUCUCCAUUAAGUGGUUAAGGGAACUGUCCUCAAGAGAUGUUGUUCUCAUCGUCAAAACCCUCACAAUAGAUAUGCAAGGCCACAAAUCCUCCAUCAAAAUCUAUUGAUUCCCAGGGUUUUCUUUGAUGAGCAAGAAUCAAUGGUUGAUUUGGACCUGUAAAGGAGGGCGAUAUAUACCUAGAAAUUCCUUUUCUGAACUAGGUUUCUCUCAGAUAUGGUAGAGCUUUGUUCAAUGGCCUCUUCUACUUCACCUCCCAGGAUAUUUAAAAAACCGCAGGGCCUCUGCAGAUGACCUAAGUUUGGGUUUAUAUAAUUGUAGACCUUUAGAACAGGGAUGAUCAAUUGUUUCUCUCAGACAUAGUCAAGCUUUGUCUGAUGGCCUCUUCUACUUCACCUCCUGGGCUGUUAAAAAAAAUCGCAGGGCCUCUGCAGUUAACAUAAGGUAAUUCUUGCUCGAUAUUAAUCUUCACUGAUGGAUUUUUUUUUAUUUCUGAUGUGAUUAUAAUUUGGAUUUGUUGAAUUGCAGACCUUCCAAAAAGGGAUGGUCAAUUGUUUCUCCCUUACCUUUCCUUUAUUUAUUCAAACUCUAAUUCUGAAUUUUUCCAGGUAGGAUAUGAUUGGGUUGCGAUUAGUUUAUGUCAAAUUUUGUUCACUGAAUUCAUACUAACAUCUAUUGGUUUAUGGAUUCCCCAAUGGAAGAUUCUUCAUGUUAUCAUUAGGUUGAUCUUAGAUUUUUUUUCCCCUUAAAGUAGCGAAGGUGCAGCCUACAUGGAAAAAGUAAAUAAGGUGUUAGCCAUCUCAAUUCUCAAGUUGGUAUUCUAUUGGGAAACUCUUGAUUUUAUUUGAAAAUUUUACAAGGUUAGGAUAGAAUCUGUUGUCUAGAUAAUCCAUCUAAAAGAGGAGUAAUCAAAUUCAUAUUUUAACGAUUUCCUGUGUAAAGAAAGUGCCCUGGUUCCUAUUCGAUUCUCUGAUCUCAGGAUCAUAAUCUACAACUCUGAUGUGGCAUCUCUGUUUCAGAAAACCAUGAUUCUUAUUUGUUUGCUACUUUGCAAAUAUUUCCCUGUAUUUUUCUUUAUCUACUCAUUUUUUUCUUCUACUCAAUUUUGCAGUAUCUGAUGUCAUCCACCGUGGAUAAAAAUGUUCGUUUAUGGCAGGAAAUACUUGAUGUGGUCUUUUAAGAGAACCAUAUGAAGAAGAAACAAAAGUAGCAAAAUGAAUAACAUAAUUGAGACCCAAAGGCUAAAGAAGCCAGCUUCUUCAAUCCCAAUUUUAAGGUACACUUUUAAAAAAAAUAUUUAGUCUAUUACUUAUAUUAAAUUCGAUACUUCAUUUAUAAGUGUUUACAUUUUGUUACUAUGACUGGCCACAUUUUAGUUUUGGUUUUCCAAACCAACAAUAUGGCCAAUUACAUAUUGGGAUUGUUCAAUUGUAUCUUGGAUCAUUGAUUUCUAUGACUUUACAAUCCUUUUAUAAAGCUUUACUCAGCCAUAAAGUUCAUUUGGCCUAAGUUACAGACUGAGGAGACUGAAUAUUUAUACUCUUUCCAUUGUUAUAGAAUCUUUGGAAUCAUAGUUGUCACUUGAUGCGUUUAAUCUGUGUUGCAAACUUGUGAUAUCACCGUAUCAAAACAGAUGAACGAUUUGGGAGGAGCAUCACAUUAGUCUACCAACGGGUUGGUAAACUUAGCAUUUUAACUCUGGUUUGGUAGAUCCAUUGAGGAAACACUGUCCUACAAGAGGAAAUUCAUAGAGAGGUGGUACAAUGUCGGAUUCAAGUUAAAUGUAUGAUUCCUAAUUUUGUGUUCUGUCCAGAAUAAAGCCGACGAGAUGAUUUGGAGUAUGUUCAUCAUGUUCUAUUGUAUUUUUCUGAUGAAGGUAGGUUUUUUAAUUCUGACCUAAAAAUUGUUGAACAAGAUCAUUUUAUAAAAUUUACUUAUCCACCUGUGUAUGGGGUGUUCCCUUUAACCUUUGAUUACUAUAUAUCUCUAUUUUUUAUAGUAUCAACUUUGAUGGUUUGGAUGUGAUGGAUAUGUGUUCCAAUUGUACCGACCAAUAUAUGUUUAUUUGUAGCCUUCUACAGUAGGGUCAAAAGAUGCCACAAAGGAGCAAAAAUAUAACAAAAUAUGUAAAGAAAGCUAUUAACUCCUAUUGAAGUAUGUAUAUGUAUCUUCAUUGACUUUGCAUUUCUGUUUAUAAUUUAUAUUAUUGUUAUUGUAAAGUUGACUAACUGCCUGGUUAUUUUCUUAUCUAGGUUCUGUGCAGGACUCCUCUUGUGGAGUUCGCCAAUCCUCUCAUAGGAAACUAAAUUACCCCUCCCCCCAAUCCUCUAUAUCUCUCUCAUCUACUAAAAUAUAAACUAUAAAUUUUCUCUUACCCUAUUAGACUUCCGUGUCUCAAGUCUCAAUUGAAAAAUUGACUUCUUUGGACCGUUCUUAUUUUACAAGGUCAAGGUUAUUGCAUUUCUAUCUCAGUUUUUUGUGGUUAGUCUCUUUCAAUAUCUGAUUUUAGACUAAUGAGUUUUAUAAACCACUUGGUCAUGCUAUAAGUUCUAUGUCCAACUCAGCCCUACAAAGAAUUAUCAAUCUUCACUCUUCAAGUGGUUUCAUUUUUUUUUUUUCAAUGACAUUGUUGAAAUAGUCAUGAAUAUAACAGCAAGUUUUCUAGGCUUAAGGUAAUAACUAAUCAUUGACCAAUUAUCCCAUGUUGAAGCAACUACAAUCGGUCUUUAUGUGUUUUAAAUAGGAUAUGAGAUUAUAGUAAGAAAAAAUAUCUAUACAUAUUGGUAGGAUAUGUUUUUUGAGGAUGCCAAAUUCUGUUAGAAUCAUAUUAUAUCGAUGUAAUAAGCAUAUAAAAGCUCCUCUACUAUUCAUGAUUGUCAUUCUACAUAUAUUGCUCUUAUUUGAUUGAUUCACUGGAAGAAUAAAACCUUUGUACUAGCCUUUGUCUUAUUCCUGUUUUGGAGCCUCUGCUCCCUCUUGCUGCCAUCCAUGCCAAACGUUUGACACGGCCAACUAUAUACUGAUUUUGAGAAGCAUCAUUCCAUGAAUUUGAAUUCCCUACCACAAUCGUGUGACUGAAUAGUGCAUCUAAAAUUUUAUCAGAAAAGAGAUGAAAUCUCUACAAAUGUGCAACAGUUUGAUUGGCAGUUUGGUCCUGAUUCUUUUAGUGAAAUGGACUUUUUCCCCUACCCUUAUUUGCCUUAAUUGUCUUCUAAGGAACAUUUUUUUAGGACAGUUUUGGUAUCUUAAUAGAUUUGGUUACCCGAACCAUUUUAAACUCAGACAACAUGGAUCACAUUCAAGCCACUUUUGACUUAAUAUGGAAUUGUUCUUGAUGCCAUAGGUAUUUUCCAUUAGUGAAGGGCCAAUUGCUAUAAUUGUAUCUUGGCAUGUAGUAUUGUACAUUUACAUUCAUUCAUCCACCGAAUUUUGUUCUGUUGAUAAGAAAUUGGUUCAUUUUAAAGACUUAAGAAUGUCAUGGCUGACAUGCGCUGCUUCUAAAUUUAUAUAAUUAUUCAUGUCCCUUUUUUCACCACUCUUACAAUUUUCAACCAUACUGAUUUUGCUAGAUUAUGAUCUUUGAAAGCAUGUUCUGUUCUUUAGAAAUUAUUUUGUUGUCAUAGAACAUGUUCUCUUAUUUUAUCUUAUUAUUUUUAAAGUUUAAGAGUUCUGAAGGAAAAUGUGAUCCGAAGGAGGUGUAAAACCCAAAUAAAAAAGAAGAGAGUUUUACAAAUGAGAAAAGUCUUCAACCAGAGGAGGUGGGAAACCCGAAUGAUCGGAGAAUUUGUUUUAGUAACUUUGUUUUCAUGGUUGAGCUUUUGUUACUAACAGUAUCAAGCGUACUAAAGGAGUCUAGGCUGAAUGGUCUUAUGAUGGGUAUUACAAUACCUAAAGUGCUGAAAACAAAAAGAUUUAAAUAUAACCUCUGAAGUAUUUAAAUAAAUAUUUCUUAUAGAAUAUAAAGUAAAUACUUAAGCUUGGCUACAAGAUACCUCUUAUAGUUAAUAAAAGAAAAGUCGGGGGUAAAUUCAUUUAUUUUCCAAUUUGGAUGAUAGUUAUAAAUGUUUGGUAUAGUUUUUUUUUAUGUGCUCUUACUUGAUUGACUUGAUAUCUUGUGGUUUUUUGUAGCAUUACUGAGUGAACAUUGAAAUUCAUUAAUCUCUGUAGCUAUGAGAGGAUAUGAAAAUAUUUUAUUUUAUGAUAUAGUUGAGUAUCAAGCUUAGGGAGGCUUAACUCAUUGGCAUGACAACAUAUAUUGAGAAGGUAAUGCAUUUUCAGAUAGCUUUGCCUUCUGAAGAGCUGAACUCAUACUUGUAUAUGUGGGGCUUACCUCUUGGAGGCAAGCUAACAAGCAUUUUUUUUUCUCCCCCAGUUCUAUUGGCUUCAAAAUUUUAAAUUUUGAAUUAUUAUAUCUUAACCUUUUUUUUUUUCUUCCAGAAAAGGUAUAAAUCUAUUAAUCUAAGAUUUUGAUAUAGUAGUGUUUGGGACUGAUUCUUUUAUGCAGGUUAGUGAGGCAUUUCCACUAAGUGAUGCAUCCAUGAAUUUAGUCAUUGGAACUUUUGUAUUAUGUUCUAUUGUUGAUGUUAAUUUGACACUAGAAGGUAUUUAUUCCUUAAAGCAUGUAUUUUAUUAGCUAUGAAAUAUUAUAUUUCAAUUUUGUAUUCUUUA